CCUACGGGAGGCAGCAGUGAGGAAUAUUGGUCAAUGGCCGGAAGGCUGAACCAGCCAUGCCGCGUGAAGGUCAGUGCCCUAUGGGCGUUAAACUUCUUUUGUGCGGGAGCAAUAAUGGUCACGUGUGGCCAGACGAGAGUACCGUACGAAUAAGCAUCGGCUAACUCCGUGCCAGCAGCCGCGGUAAUACGGGGGAUGCAAGCGUUAUCCGGAUUUAUUGGGUGUAAAGGGGGCGUAGGCGGGGAGGUAAGUCAGCGGUGAAAUGCCUCCGGGCAACGGGGUGAAGUGCCAUUGAUACUGCCGUGCUGGAAUGCGGAUGCCGUGGGAGGAAUGUGUGGUGUAGCGGUGAAAUGCAUAGAUAUCACACAGAACGCCGAUUGCGAAGGCAUCUCACGAAUCCGCGAUUGACGCUGAUGCACGAAAGCGUGGGUAUCAAACAGGAUUAGAUACCCCGGUAGUC
rnacentral:rRNA from 1 species